rnacentral:lncRNA from 1 species
GGGUUUAUCGAUCAUCGAGAUAAUCCCUGUGAGUCCCACCAUCCACCAGUGACACCUAGCAGCAUGUAGUGGCUACCCAGUAGAAUAGAAUGAUGAACCUCUAGGUGCAGUUAUUGUGUGAUACAGUCCUACUAUCGUGGAUCCCUACAGGACGGAGGUCAUGGAUAACUCGUCAAACCCCUUCGUCUGUCAUAUGUCAAGAUUUAUUCGACUCGAGUUCGUUAGUGAAAAACUCUUUCUCCACUUUAUAUUACUGCCCUGGCCAAGGUCUUAGAACUCAGUCUAACAAAUCACAUAGGAUCACUCCUCUUCUAUCAAGGUCGAUAGAUUCCAUGUGAGUGCAUACCCUACUC